rnacentral:rRNA from 1 species
GAUGAACGCUGGCGGCGUGCCUAAUACAUGCAAGUCGAGCGAACAGACGAGGAGCUUGCUCCUCUGACGUUAGCGGCGGACGGGUGAGUAACACGUGGAUAACCUACCUAUAAGACUGGGAUAACUUCGGGAAACCGGAGCUAAUACCGGAUAACAUGUUGAACCGCAUGGUUCAACAGUGAAAGACGGUCUUGCUGUCACUUAUAGAUGGAUCCGCGCCGCAUUAGCUAGUUGGUAAGGUAACGGCUUACCAAGGCAACGAUGCGUAGCCGUCCUGAGAGGGUGAUCGGCCACACUGGAACUGAGACACGGUCCAGACUCCUACGGGAGGCAGCAGUAGGGAAUCUUCCGCAAUGGGCGAAAGCCUGACGGAGCAACGCCGCGUGAGUGAAGAAGGUCUUCGGAUCGUAAAACUCUGUUAUUAGGGAAGAACAAAUGUGUAAGUAACUAUGCACGUCUUGACGGUACCUAAUCAGAAAGCCACGGCUAACUACGUG